rnacentral:lncRNA from 1 species
AAUGGGACGGGUUUUUCACUCCAAUCACAAAAAUACAUACAUGCGGUACCAAGUCGUUGGUGCUAUUAAAUUUUUUGCCUUUGGAUGGAGGGAUGUGCGGUUAGAAUGGUAGUAGUCUCCUGGGAUUGAGUGGGUGGUCCGUUGAAUAAUAUAAUCUAACGGAUGAAAAUGGUUAAAAGAGUAUAUCUAACGACGAAAAAUUUGAUAGCACUAAAGUGUUUGGUGCUAUUAAUAACACAGUAGCUAGCCGAACUAAAUGAAUGGAUUAUGUAUUAUUAUUCUUUCCAAUUUAAUCAAUAUU